AUUGAACGCUGGCGGAAUGCUUUACACAUGCAAGUCGAACGGCAGCACGGACUUCGGUCUGGUGGCGAGUGGCGAACGGGUGAGUAAUGUAUCGGAACGUGCCCAGUCGUGGGGGAUAACGUAGUGAAAAUUACGCUAAUACCGCAUACGAUCUAUGGAUGAAAGCGGGGGAUCGCAAGACCUCGCGCGAUUGGAGCGGCCGAUAGCAGAUUAGGUAGUUGUUGGGGUAAAGGCCCACCAAGCCAACGAUCUGUAGCUGGUCUGAGAGGACGACAAGCCACACUGGAACUGAGACACGGUCCAGACUCCUACGGGAGGCAGCAGUGGGGAAUUUUGGACAAUGGGCGAAAGCCUGAUCCAGCCAUUCCGCGUGCAGGAUGAAGGCCCUCGGGUUGUAAACUGCUUUUGUACAGAACGAAAAGGUUUCUACUAAUACUAGGAGCUCAUGACGGUACUGUAAGAAUAAGCACCGGCUAACUACGUGCCAGCCGCCGCGGUAA
rnacentral:rRNA from 1 species